UGAAUACGAGACGCUAAGGCGUCGAAGUAGUGUAUAUCAGACUUCCAAGAAAAGCUUGCACUGUCAUAGAUAAAAAAUGCCUGUACCAUAACCGACACAGGUGGGUAGGUAGAGUAUACUAAGAGGCGCGAGGUAACUCUCCCUAAGGAACUCGGCAAAAUAACUCCGUAACUUCGGGAGAAGGAGUGCCUUAUUUAUAAGGUUGCAAUAACAAGAUCCAAGCAACUGUUUAUCAAAAACACAGGUCUCCGCUAAGUCGUAAGACGAUGUAUGGGGGCUGACGCCUGCCCAGUGCCAGAAGGUUAAAGAAGUUGGUUAGCAAUUGCGAAGCUGAUAACUGAAGCCCUGGUGAACGGCGGCCGUAACAAUAACGGUCCUAAGGUAGCGAAAUUCCUUGUCGGGUAAGUUCCGACCCGCACGAAAGGCGUAAUGAUUUGGAUACUGUCUCGGAGAGGGGCUCGGUGAAAUAGACUUGUCUGUGAAGAUGCGGACUACCUGCACCAGGACAGAAAGACCCUAUGAAGCUUUACUGUAACUUGAAAUUGAAAUUGGACUUUAUUCGCGCAGCAUAGGUGGGAGGCGUUGAUUAUAAUCUUGCGGGAUUAUUGGAGCCAUCAGUGAGAUACCACUCUUGUAAUGUUAGAUUUCUAACUUUGAAUCAUUAUCUGGUCAAAGAACAGUUUCAGGCGGGCAGUUUGACUGGGGCGGUCGCCUCCUAAAUGGUAACGGAGGCGUACAAAGGUUUCCUCUGAACGGUUAGAAAUCGUAUCUAGAGUGUAAAGGCAUAAGGAAGCUUGACUGUGAGACCUACAAGUCGAGCAGGGACGAAAGUCGGUCUUAGUGAUCUGACGGUACUGAGUGGAAAGGCCGUCACUCAACGGAUAAAAGUUACUCUAGGAUAACAGGCUGAUCUCCCCCAAGAGUUCACAUCGACGGGGAGGUUUGGCACCUCGAUGUCGGCUCAUCGCAUCCUGGGGCGGUAGUACGUCCCAGGGGUUGGGCUGUUCGCCCAUGAAAGCGGUACGCGAGCUGGGUUCAGAACGUCGUGAGACAGUUCGGUCCAUAUCCGGUGUAGGCGUUAGAAUAUUGAGAGGAGCCUUCUUUAGUACGAGAGGACCGAGAAGGACAUACCUCUGGUGUACCAGUUAUCGUGCCAACGGUAAACGCUGGGUAGCUAUGUAUGGAGUGGAUAACCGCUGAAAGCAUCUAAGUGGGAAGCCCACCUCAAGAUAAGUAUUCUC
rnacentral:rRNA from 1 species